GAGGAUAUAGCUCAGUGGUAGAGUACAUGCUUAGCACGCACGAGGUCCUGGGUUCCAUCCCCAGUACCUCCA
rnacentral:tRNA from 1 species